GGGUCAGUAGGUUGGUCGUGCCACCGGUACGUACUGGUCUCACUGAUUCCUCCUUCCUGAAGAACCGUAAUGCCAUUAAUUUGGCGUUGCGGGGAAACAGGACCGUUACUUUGAAAAAAUUAGAGUGCUUAAAGCAAGCUAACGCUUGAAUACAUUAGCAUGGAAUAAUGAAAUAGGACGACCGAUCCUAUUUUGUUGGUUUCUAGGAUUGACGUA
rnacentral:rRNA from 1 species